rnacentral:rRNA from 1 species
GAUGAACGCUGGCGGCGUGCCUAAUACAUGCAAGUCGAGCGAACGGACGAGAAGCUUGCUUCUCUGAUGUUAGCGGCGGACGGGUGAGUAACACGUGGAUAACCUACCUAUAAGACUGGGAUAACUUCAGGAAACCGGAGCUAAUACCGGAUAAUAUUUUGAACCGCAUGGUUCAAAAGUGAAAGACGGUCUUGCUGUCACUUAUAGAUGGAUCCGCGCUGCAUUAGCUAGUUGGUAAGGUAACGGCUUACCAAGGCAACGAUGCAUAGCCGACCUGAGAGGGUGAUCGGCCACACUGGAACUGAGACACGGUCCAGACUCCUACGGGGGGCAGCAGUAGGGAAUCUUCCGCAAUGGGCGAAAGCCUGACGGAGCAACGCCGCGUGAGUGAUGAAGGUCUUCGGAUCGUAAAACUCUGUUAUUAGGGAAGAACAUAUGUGUAAGUAACUGUGCACAUCUUGACGGUACCUAAUCAGAAAGCCACGGCUAACUACGUG